rnacentral:rRNA from 1 species
AGAACGAACGCUGGCGGCAGGCUUAACACAUGCAAGUCGAACGGUUGUAGCAAUACAGCAGUGGCAGACGGGUGAGUAACACGUGGGAACCUUCCUAGGGGUACGGAACAACUCAGGGAAACUUGAGCUAAUACCGUAUACGUCCGUGAGGAGAAAGUUUUAACGCCCCGUAGACGGGCCCGCGUAGGAUUAGGUAGUUGGUGAGGUAAUGGCUCACCAAGCCUACGAUCCUUAGCUGAUCUGAGAGGAUGAUCAGCCACACUGGGACUG